rnacentral:rRNA from 1 species
UAAAUAGCCAGGCCGGCUUUUGCUGGUCGCCGGCUUCUUAGAGGGACUGCGGUAGCGUCUAGCCCGCGGAAGUUUGAGGCAAUAACAGGUCUGUGAUGCCCUUAGAUGUUCUGGGCCGCACGCGCGCUACACUGACAGAGCCAGCGAGUUUUUUUCCUUGGCCGGAAGGUC